rnacentral:rRNA from 1 species
AUUGAACGCUGGCGGCAGGCCUAACACAUGCAAGUCGAACGAGUGGCGUACGGGUGAGUAAUGUCUGGGAAACUGCCUGAUGGAUGGGGAUAACUAAUGGAAACUGUUGCUACUACCGCCUACCAUCAGCUGUGCCCAGAUGGGUUUAGCUAGUUGGUGGGGUAACGGCUCACCAGGGCGACGAUCCCUAGCUGGUCUGAGAGCAUGACCAGCCACACUGGAACUGAGACACGGUCCAGACUCCUACGGGAGGCAGCAGUGGGGAAUAUUGCACAAUGGGCGCAAGCCUGAUGCAGCCAUGCCGCGUGUAUGAAGAAGGCCUUCGGGUUGUAAAGUACUUUCAGCGGGGAGGCGUUACCCGCAGAAGAAGCACCGGCUAACUCCGUGCCAGCAGCCGCGGUAAUUC